rnacentral:piRNA from 1 species
UUAAGAAGGUUCUGCCAGGCCGGGCGC